rnacentral:rRNA from 1 species
GAUGAACGCUGGCGGCGUGCCUAAUACAUGCAAGUCGAGCGGACGGACGAGAAGCUUGCUUCUCUGAUGUUAGCGGCGGACGUGUGAGUAACACGUGUAUAACCCACCUAUAAUACUGGUAUAACUUCGGGAAUCCGGAGCUUAUACCGGAUGAUAUUUUGAACCGCAUGGUUCAAAAGUGAAUUACGGUCUUGCUGGCUCUUCUAGCUGGAUCCGCGCUGCAUUAGCUAGUUGUUAAGUUAACGGCUUAUCAAGGCUACGAGGCAUAGACGACGUGAGAGAGUGGUCGGCCACCCUGGAACUGGAACGCGGUCCAGACUACUAAGGGAGGCAGCAGUCGGGAAUCGUACGCAAUGGGCGAAAGCCUGACGGAACGGCGGCGCGUGAGAGAUGGAAGUCUUGGGAUCGUAAAACUCUGUUAUUGGGGAAGAACCUAUGUGUACGUAACUGAGCACAUCGUGACGGUACCUAGUAGAAAAGCAACGGCUAACUACGUG